UCCGACGAAGAUGCCCUUGGGCAUCCCUUUCCAGUCCUGCAAUUUCCUCCUCUGAAGUUCCUCUACCAGUGUCUGGAUUAAUAGAAGACAGCUGGAUUCUCAUGUCUGCCGCCACAUCAGUCUGUCUUAAGAUGUUGUUUGGGUUGAAGUACAUGAAGAAAAUCCAGCCGUACUCUGAUGUGCAGUGGAAACAAAGACAGGGUUUGGAGCCUGUCCUGGGACUCACUCUGUAGACCACCAUUCAAGUCUCUUUAGGUCUAAUUCUACCUGGAAAGUUCAAAUUUUAUCAGUGGCAACAAAGAUGGAGAAGACUGUGAGGUUAUAUUUUUUUUCUUAAAGCAGUGGACUCCUAUUGUUGUAUAUUUACCAAAUGAUAUGCCAAAUAUACCAGUCUGAAUAAAGAUAAUUUUCCCAUCAUCCUUUCAGAGAAACUGGAUUGUCUGUGUAUGCAUAGGUCUAGAUUUAAUAAAAUAAUGCCUG
rnacentral:lncRNA from 1 species